rnacentral:rRNA from 1 species
UACGUAGGGUGCAAGCGUUAUUCGGAAUUACUGGGCGUAAAGCGUGCGCAGGCGGUUGUGCAAGACAGAUGUGAAAUCCCCGGGCUCAGCCUGGGAACUGCAUUUGUGACUGCACGGCUGGAGUGCGGCAGAGGGGGAUGGAAUUCCGCGUGUAGCAGUGAAAUGCGUAGAUAUGCGGAGGAACACCGAUGGCGAAGGCAAUCCCCUGGGCCUGCACUGACGCUCAUGCACGAAAGCGUGGGGAGCAAACAGG